rnacentral:rRNA from 1 species
AUGGUAUCACCGUACUACGAGGUGUUUAUGACCCCCCAUUUGGAUGACUAUCAUUCUGAAGAUGAGGUUGACCCCUCGAUGGAGGAAUCUGAAUGGCCACCAUCACAAUUAAAGAUAUAUGUAUUCUCAUCAAAGUCGGGUUGCUGGAAGGAGAAGUAUUUUUUUCGACAAGGGGGUGCUACAGGGAUUGUCAGUGAGAGGCACAUGGGUUACAAGCGAUCCAAUGGCGUCUAUUAUCGAGGAGCACUUUACGUACUCUGCAGUGUUUAUUUAAUUAUGAGGAUAUCAUUGUCUGAUAAUACGUACAGUGUAAUUAAACCACCUGUCAUGGAUACCAGAGCACACGACUAUCCUUGUGUCGAGAUUGUUAGAUCAAAAAAGGGGGUGUACUUUGUGGCAUUUGAUAGGUACUGGCCUCAGCGUAAGUGUUGGCUUGGUGUUUGGAUCCUUAAUGAAUCAUGUGGUCAGAUGGGGUGGAUGUUGAAGCAUGACAAAGACCUUAAGCAUGCGCUAGCACAUCACCGAUAUUGUGGACGACUUCAUUGGAUCUUAGAAGAUAUUAACUAUAACCUGUUUUGUUCUUCUAGUUUCCUAGAAGGCAACAAGAAAGCAACCACUGAGGAGAUUUUUGAAUGGAACUCUGACGAUGAUGUUGAAAACGAGAACUUGGUUAAGCAUUGUUGCUUAGAAGACAACAAGAAAGCCAUAAUUGAAAAGAAAUUGGAUUGGAAGUACAACAAUCGUAAUGUUGUUAACAAUUGUGAUAUGGUUGAAGAGUGUCACUGGGGUGAAGAGCAUUAUGAUGAUUCAUAUGAUGGAGACAUUGAGAUACUUGGGUUUCACCCAUACAAAGAGAUUGUCUUCUUGAGUAGUACACCAGAGUGGACAGCACUGGCAUAUCAUUUGAAUGGCUUCAAGAUUGAAGAAUUAGGGAAUAUAUACCCAAAUGAUUAUGGUCAUUUCAAACAGUUAAGUAAUGAACAGGAGAGGAUCAAAUCUUUUCCAUACACCCCAUGUUGGAUUGAAGAGUUAACUAGGAACAAUUAG